UGCUGCUUUAACGUUGAAUUUAUUACAAUUAUUAAUGCCUGGGCGCUUAUAAUAUUGCUCACAGCAGCGUUCACUUAUUAUAUCGCGACAAGUGAAUCUUCGCCUGGCACUGACGUGCGCCGUGAGCCUGUGAAAUUUCGCUGAAAAUCGAUAAGGACACGGGCAAAGUGCCAGCGCAAAUGCAAAGGCAGCGCAAAGUCACCAAACUAAAAAGCACAAUACACCGAAAACGAGAGCGCAGCCAGUGAAAGUGCACAUGUCCUGGCCUAGUGCUGCCACAGUGGUGGCUAACAAGAAAGUGUAUAGCUCAAAGUAGAAGCAGAUGCACGUCCUCUCUGCUGUAAAUCACAUUUGAUGAGGUUUUAGAUUAUUGUAAUUGAUAAAAAUUGGAAAAAAGAGUUAAUUUAAGCAUUGUUUUAAAAACAACAUAUCAAUAGUUUUAUAAUUAUAAUAAAUUGUAUAUGCCAAAUUUAAUUUUCUACAAAUUGGCUAAUUGAGCCUAAGGCAAAAA